AAUAAUAACAACCUAACAAUAAUUAAAUAGUAUAGAUAAAAUAAGCAAUUUCGUGGGGUUAGGUGCGGCUAGGGUUAGGGUUUCUUGGGAAGCGAUGUUUAAAUGCCCUCUCUGUGUCGAUCUGGGCCAUCCGUAUAGGGACACAUGAUCCACUCCAAGCCAUCGGAUCACUCUUAUUUAGGGAACUAAUUUGGGCUGCAUGAUCGGAUUAAAUCUUGCUGUUUGAUUGCGCCU
rnacentral:lncRNA from 1 species